rnacentral:rRNA from 1 species
CCUACGGGUGGCAGCAGUGGGGGAUAUUGCACAAUGGGGGGAACCCUGAUGCAGCGACGCCGCGUGGGUGAAGAAGCGCCCCGGCGCGUAAAGCCCUGUCAGCAGGGAAGAAAAUGACGGUACCUGAAGAAGAAGCCCCGGCUAACUACGUGCCAGCAGCCGCGGUACUACGUAGGGGGCAGGCGUUAUCCGGAUUUACUGGGGGUAAGGGGGGCGCAGACGGCGAUGCAAGCCAGGAGUGAAAGCCCGGGGCCCAACCCCGGGACUGCUCUUGGAACUGCGUGGCUGGAGUGCAGGAGGGGCAGGCGGAAUUCCUGGUGUAGCGGUGAAAUGCGUAGAUAUCAGGAGGAACACCGGUGGCGAAGGCGGCCUGCUGGACUGCAACUGACGUUGAGGCCCGAAAGCGUGGGGAGCAAACAGGAUUAGAUACCCCAGUAGUC